rnacentral:rRNA from 1 species
CCUACGGGAGGCAGCAGUGAGGAAUAUUGGACAAUGGGCGCAAGCCUGAUCCAGCCAUGCCGCGUGCAGGAAGACGGUCCUAUGGAUUGUAAACUGCCUUUGUACAGGAAGAAACACUCCCUCGUGAGGGAGCUUGACGGUACUGUAAGAAUAAGGAUCGGCUAACUCCGUGCCAGCAGCCGCGGUAAUACGGAGGAUCCAAGCGUUAUCCGGAAUCAUUGGGUUUAAAGGGUCCGUAGGCGGUUUAAUAAGUCAGUGGUGAAAUCUGGUCGCUCAACGAUCAAACGGCCAUUGAUACUGUUAGACUUGAAUUAUUAGGAAGUAACUAGAAUAUGUAGUGUAGCGGUGAAAUGCUUAGAUAUUACAUGGAAUACCAAUUGCGAAGGCAGGUUACUACUAAUGGAUUGACGCUGAUGGACGAAAGCGUGGGGAGCGAACAGGAUUAGAUACCCUGGUAGUCCACGCCGUAAACGAUGGAUACUAGCUGUUCGGAGCAAUCUGAGUGGCUAAGCGAAAGUGAUAAGUAUCCCACCUGGGGAGUACGUUCGCAAGAAUGAAACUUAAAGGAAUUGACGGCUGAGAGNGCGAGACGACGACGAGGGAGGAGG